GUAGGGAAUAUUGGGCAAUGGAUGCAAGUCUGACCCAGCCAUCCCGCGUGCCGGAAGAAGGCCCUCAGGGUUGUAAACGGCUUUUGACGGUGAAGAAUCGACAGGAUGCGUCCUGUUUUGACGGUAGCCGUUGAAUAAGCACCGGCUAACUCCGUGCCAGCAGCCGCGGUAAUACGGAGGGUGCGAGCGUUGUCCGGAUUUAUUGGGUUUAAAGGGUGCGUAGGCUGGAAGGUCAGUCAGCGGUGAAAAGCUGUCGCUUAACGAUAGUCUUGCCGCAGAUACUUCCUUUCUUGGAUGAGGAGGAGGCCACUGGAACGGAUGGUGUAGCGGUGAAAUGCAUUGAUAUCAUCCAGAACACCGAUUGCGAAGGCAGGUGGCUGUACCUUAAUCGACGCUGAUGCACGAAAGCAUGGGGAGCAAACAGGAUUAGAUACCCUAGUAGUCC
rnacentral:rRNA from 1 species